CUUUGUUGCAGAGCUUGGACUUUCUCCAGUUGUGGCGCAUGGGCUCUAGAGCUUGAAGGCUCAGUAGCUGCCAAGCACAGGCCUCUCGAGUUGCAGUACUCAGGCUGAGUUGCCCUGCAGCAUGUGGGGUCUUAAUUCCCUGAUCAGGGAUUAAACCCACAUUCUCUGCAUUGGAAGGUGGAUUUUUAACCACUGGACCACCACUGAAGUCUCUUCUGUAUCUUUAAGAAACAAUAUCAAGAGUGGUCAGAGCAACUGCAUCAAGGGCCAGGCAUCAGGAGAACUCCUUUGCAAAGGCACUGAGGCAGCCAGUGACCAUAUCCUCCUAAGUCUCAAGAUACUAGUUCCCCAACCAGGGAUUGAACCCAGGCCUUCUGCAGAGGAACUGCUGAGUCCUAACCACCUGACUGCCAGGGAAUUUGCAAAAACCCGAUGUUAUAAAGUACUCUGGGGUUAUACAAAGCGUAACGUUUAUCUGCCCCAGAGAUUUUUGCUUUGGCCCAGAGUGUAUCAGCCGAGGCCCU